GGAUGUGAGGGCGAUCUGGCUGAAACAUGUCACCCCAUUGAUCGCCAGGGUUGAUUCGGCUGAUCUGGCUGGCCAGGUGGGUGUCCCCUUCCUCCCUCACAUACUCCCUAUGAGUCCCUCCUGAAGCUUCGAGCUAGGUCGAAGAGGACGACUUUCCCUGAAUAGAGGAGGACAGUCUUUGGUCAAGGGUCUUGAGUAGCUGUGCUCCCCUGCUGGAACCUCCAAAGAAGCUCAAGAAAUGCUUUUUAUAGUUCUCUAAGUCACAUUUUGAUUUCAUAGUUUUUGGGUAAGUGGGACAAGUCACAACAAUGAUUGCUUGAGGAGCACAGUGAAUUCCU
rnacentral:snRNA from 1 species